rnacentral:rRNA from 1 species
AACGAACGCUGGCGGCAUGCCUAACACAUGCAAGUCGAACGAGACCUUCGGGUCUAGUGGCGCACGGGUGCGUAACGCGUGGGAACCUGCCCUUAGGUUCGGAAUAACUCCCCGAAAGGGGUGCUAAUACCGGAUAAUGUCUUCGGCCCAAAGAUUUAUCGCCUUUGGAUGUGCCCGCGUUGGAUUAGCUAGUUGGUAGGGUAAAAGCCUACCAAGGCGACGAUCCAUAGCUGGUCUGGGAGGAUGAUCAGCCACACUGGGACUGAGACACGGCCCAGACUCCUACGGGAGGCAGCAGUGGGGAAUAUUGGAAAAUGGGCGAAGGGCUGAUCCAGCAAGGCCGGGUGAGUGAUGAAGGCCUGAGGGUUGUAAAGCUCUUGUACCCGGGAUGAUAAUGACAGUACCGGGAGAAUAAGCCACGGCUAACUCCGUG